UCAGCCAGAAAACUCCGUUCUAAGCCUGGCAGUAAUUUGGCCCAAAUGAAGUGUUCUCUAUAUCCAAAUAGAUGGCUUGCAAGUUUUCUAAAAUAUGCCUUAAUACAAACGUGUAUUUUGCAGUCUAGGCCCUUGUAAUGGACUUUUAAUAAAGCCGCAUAGCAAUAAAUAGCAUGCAGCCAAUUGGACCAAUGCACAUCCAUGCGGAUGUGUCAUCUUUUUUCCAAGCCUGCAUAACUUAGUAGGAAGUUGAAAGAGCUUCUUCUUGUUGCCCUCUCCACUUUGGCAUGUUUGUUUUGCUUUCAUCUUCCAGUCUCUUCUCCUCAGUAGCAACUGCCAGGCCUUCAGCCAAAGGGAUGGCCCCGGGGUUCCUUUGUUUAACAGCUGUUCUGUGCUGCUUGCACAAAUUGCUUGGCAGAGGGUGAUUUGUAGUGACAAGGCCUGAACCUUUUCCCCAGAGAUUCACCAGAUACCUUAGCAAUGCUCAGUGUCUCUCAAGACUGGGAAGAGGAAGUCCAACUCCUUCACUGGAGCUUGACCUUGCAACAUCUGAUCUCUCGCAUACUUUGUUCUUGCUUCCACUGGUACAACAAUUUCUUAAGCAGGCUGGAUGACUCUCUGUAUGUUACAGAUGGAGGAAUACAUCUGCAGUGACUCAUUUUCAUUGUUCACCUCUUCAAGUCAGCUCCUCUUGUUAGUUUCUGGUUGUGAGUGCCCUGGUGUCUUCUGACUAAGAACCUGUGUGCAGAAUUGCCCUGAAGACUCUAUUGACAAAUUCUUCAACAUUAAGGUGAGAGAAAUCCCAGUGUGAUUGGACUCUGAAGUUGAUUACCAGUACUACUACUCCUUUUUGCCUCAUCUUCCUUUAAAACUAGGACUGGAUCAAAACUACCCAUACCAUUCAUUUUAUAUAAAACACAUAUUAUUUCUGUUUUCUGAAGCCCUUUGAAAAUUUUCAGUAGACCGAUGGAAUCUUCAGAGGAGUCCUAAAGGGACAUGCUUGGAGAAGCCCUGCAACAGAGGCCAUUUUGAAAGAGAAACAGAACUCAUGAAUAUUCAGCUCAACCCUAAUGAACCCCCCAUCCCCGCAUGCACUGUACAGAUCCUGGGAAAAUAGAAAAUGGUACUAAGAGAAAUUUUCCAAGAGAAAUUAAGAACAACUUUGAAUUGGGAAUAUCUGAACUUUGCUUGUGAUGUCCUAGGCAGAAGAGAGCGAAAGUUGAGCAUACAUUUUAGCCAAAGUCAGCCGUGUGGGGUGACUGCUUGCAUGGCAGGGCCAAGAAAUUCUGGAUGUCCAAGAGAAGCACAUUGUCAAUCACGUGUGUUUUCCCUUAAAAAAAAAAAAGAUCUUGUCCAUUAAUGCACACUCUCUAGAUCUGGAGCUAUACAACUAAUUUUUGGUGUCUUAAGAUGAUUGCAUAGGAAUGUAAUGAAAAUAAAUAGUGCAUUUUGUCAUAACAACAUCUGGGUUCAUCACAUGUGCACCCACAGCUUGGGUGAGGUGUUUAGAAUCCUUUAUGAAGAGCUGUUCUAGAAAGUGUUUAUCACUUUAAGAGAAGGAACUUUCACACAUGAAGUGAGAGCUAGUGAGGAAAGGACCAGAGAGUUGCAAGCUAGAAGAGAUAACUAUGCAGUUUGUUCAAUAAAGUUAUGUUAAUAUU